rnacentral:misc_RNA from 1 species
ACCAUGCUUUCCAUUAGGGAAUAACUUAGGGUUUUCAUCCCCAUCUUCCUCGUUAUCAAUGAAUUGCUGAAACCCUUCAAGCAACACGUCUUCCUCAUCAUCACCGCAAACCUUAGAAAACCCACGAAUCUUUUCGCCUCUGCCACUCAAUUUGUCCACUACUUCCUUCUGAUGUUCAAAUAAACCUCCAUAUCCAAUACUGGCAUUCAAAGCCCUAGAUUUGUUGCCAUUCCUAACAGAUCGCACAUUUUUUGCAGGUUUAUAUGAGCACCCAUUCCUUUUAGCUGCAAGCCCAUCAACGAACUCCAAAAAUCUCACUAUAUCACGGCUAAUUGAGCUUUUUCCAUCUCUGAUCAUAGGAUCACCGCCCUGAAUAGAGUCAAGU